rnacentral:rRNA from 1 species
GGGUCAGUAGGUCGGUCGUGCCACCGGUACGUACUGGUCUCACUGAUUCCUCCUUCCUGAAGAACCGUAAUGCCAUUAAUUUGGUGUUGCGGGGAAACAGGACUGUUACUUUGAAAAAAUUAGAGUGUUUAAAGCAAGCUAACGCUUGAAUACAUUAGCAUGGAAUAAUGAAAUAGGACGAUCGAUCCUAUUUUGCUGGUUUCUAGGAUUGACGUA